CCUACGGGGGGCAGCAGUGGGGAAUAUUGGACAAUGGGGGAAACCCUGAUCCAGCGACGCCGCGUGAGUGAAGAAGUAUUUCGGUACGUAAAGCUCUAUCAGCAGGAAAGAAAAUGACGGUACCUGACUAAGAAGCCCCGGCUAACUACGUGCCAGCAGCCGCGGUAAUACGUAGGGGGCAAGCGUUAUCCGGAUUUACUGGGUGGAAAGGGAGCGUAGACGGCAGCGCAAGUCUGGAGUGAAAUGCCGGGGCCCAACCCCGGAACUGCUCUGGAAACUGUGAAGCUGGAGGGCAGGAGAGGUAAGCGGAAUUCCUGGUGUAGCGGUGAAAUGCGUAGAUAUCAGGAGGAACACCGGCGGCGAAGGCGGCUUACUGGACUGUAACUGACGUUGAGGCUCGAAGGCGUGGGGAGCAAACAGGAUUAGAUACCCUAGUAGUC
rnacentral:rRNA from 1 species